UGCAAGUCGCACGAGAAAGGCUGGGGCAACUUGGCCGAGUAAAGUGGCGCACGGGUGAGUAACGCGUGGGUGACCUACCCCUGAAUCUGGGAUAACUUCGCGAAAGCGGGGCUAAUACCGGAUACGUCCCCUUAGGGGGAGAAAGCCGGCCUCUCAAAGAAGCUGGUGUUCGGGGAUGGGCCCGCGUCCUAUCAGCUAGUUGGUAGGGUAAGGGCCUACCAAGGCGACGACGGGUAGCUGGUCUGAGAGGAUGGCCAGCCAUACUGGCACUGGAACACGGGCCAGACUCCUACGGGAGGCAGCAGUGAGGAAUUUUGCGCAAUGGGAGCAAUCCUGACGCAGCAACGCCGCGUGGGUGAUGAAGGCCUUCGGGUCGUAAAGCCCUGUCAGGGGGGAAGAACCUCGGGGAGGCGAAGAGCCUUUUCGACUGACGGUACCCCCAGAGGAAGCGCCGGCUAACUCCGUGCCAGCAGCCGCGGUAAUACGGAGGGUGCGAGCGUUAUUCGGAAUUACUGGGCGUAAAGCGCGCGUAGGCGGUGGGGCAAGUCUGGUGUGAAAGCCCGGGGCUUAACCUCGGAAGGGCAUUGGAAACUGCCUCACUUGAGUGCCGGAGAGGAAGGGGGAAUUCCCGGUGUAGCGGUGAAAUGCGUAGAUAUCGGGAGGAAUACCAGUGGCG
rnacentral:rRNA from 1 species